CCGCUGGGGUUCGGGUGCCGGUGGCUGCUCCCAAGAGCAGACCCGCCCCCCCGGGGAGAUGCUCAGCGUUGCUGUGGGCAGCGCGGGAUGGGCACCGGGUCCCGGCGUCGCCCGAGUCCUCCUGCCCCCAGCCAGCCCCUGUGCUCACAGAGGCCACGGCUUCCCUCGGCCCCUGCAGCCUCUCAAGGUGGGAUUUUUCAGCAAUCACAGCCUUUAGCAGUGGGGAAAAGAAAACCUGGAAGGUGUGUGGGAAAGGAUGCUAUUUUCGUCUACAGCACUAGCCUAAAAAAAAAAUCAAAAUAGAAAGGCUCCGUGGCUGUCGCUGCUCACUUCAAACCGUGUUGCUGUAAACCAUAGCGGGGCGGGUGCUGUGGCACUGGAAGCGAAGGAUGGUGCCGUACCCCGGGAGUACCAGACGCCCAAAGGUGAGAGUUCAGACCCGUCCUGACUGAUCGACACGGCUUUGUGAUGGCCAAAGCCCUUUUUCGUUUCUUUCCACGUAGGAUCGUCCCUUUCCCGGGGGGGGGGGGGUCGCAUCGCCGUCAUCUCCCCCCCAGGCAGUUUGGGCAGGAAGGAGCAGGGGCGAAGCAGCCUUUCUGCAGACAGUGCCCCGCGGGACCCGCUCGCAGGUCGGGGCUGAGCCAUCGCCCCUCCGCCCGGGCGAGCUGAAGCCCCAUCUGACCGCCUGCGUUUAUCCCUUUAUUUUCCGCCUGCCUGCUGGAAAGCGGCUCCGUCAGCUCCGGCAUCAUCUCUCCACCCUGAGCGGAGCCAGCCGUGCUCCGGCUGGCAGGGGAGGACGCGGGGGCUGGCGAGCGCAGCGGCGGCUCUCCCCCGAGCAUCCCCUUCCCACGCCGCGGGGAGCCCGGCAGCUCCCGCCCCACCGGCUCCUCGCUCACCAUGCUGGAUAUUUUCAUCCUGAUGUUUUUUGCCAUCAUCGGCCUGGUGAUCCUCUCCUACAUCAUCUACAUGCUCUAGAGCGAUGCAGGGGGAGAAGAAGAUGCGGCCCAGCAUCAGCUUUGCAAUCGAAGCAUCGUCCAGCUGCCGCCUGGUCCGUCUCCCUCAGAGCCUUCUGGAAGAGCAUUAACCCUCUGCGAGCACCCGGCUGCCCAGGAGGAGCUGUGCCGGGGGGGCCGCCGGCAGCGAGGGGGGGCCGAGUGUGGGGCGAAGGAGGGAGAUGGGGCGGCAGGGGAGAGAGCGGCGAGGUGACAUCCCCCUGCCCAGACGUGGGUCGUUCCCGGUGACGCACGCGGCAUCCCGGGGGGAUGCGGAGGGUCCUGCCCCCACCGCGUGGCGUAGCCCCUCGGGACGAGCGCUUCCGAGGUCGGUCGUUUGGGUUUAAUUUUAGAAAAAGCACUUAUAUUUUUAAUGAAAAUUGUUCAAGGAAAUGAAAUAAAGAGAGGAAUGACACAGGAGAGCGAGCGCAUCUGCUGGUGUUGACUCUGCCGAAACGCAUCCCCAUGCAUCGGCCGCGGGGCUGGGGCACACACGGCCGCGGGAGCAAAACCCGCUUCUGCGGAGAGAGCGCAGAAUCACAGAUGGGUUGGGUGGGAAGGGACCUUGAAGAUCACCCAGUGCCACCCCCUGCCCUGGGCAGGGACACCUCCCACCAGCCCAGGUUGCUCCAAGCCCCGUCCAACCUGGCCUUGAACCCCUCCAGGGAUGGGGCAGCCACAGCUUCUCUGGGCAACCUGGGCCAGGGGCUCACCCCCCUCAGAGGGAAAAAUUCCUUCCUGAUACCCAACCGAAAUGUCCCUCUUCCAGUUUGAAGCCAUUACCCCUCGCCCUGUCGCUACAUGCCCUUGUAAACGUCCCUCCCCAGCUUUCCUGGAGCCCCUUUAGGGCCUGGAAGGGGCUGGAAGGUCUCCCCGGAGCCUUCUCUUCCCCAGGCUGAACCCCCCCAGCUCUCCCAGCCUGUCCCCACAGCUCCAGCCGUGGGAGGGCACCCUGCGAGCCCUGGGAGGGACGGGGUACUGCCAAACCACGACGAGACACCCCUGUGUCCCCGAGUUGAGCAGCGGCUGCUGCUGCAGAGGGGUCCCUGCUCCACGCGCUGUGGGGUCCCAACCAGGCUCUCCCCCGCCCAGGCGUCUGCGCCGUGGCUCAGCCUCACGCAGGUCCCCUCGCCCGUGUUCAGGGAACCUCCGGGAAGUCUCAGUUCAUCUCAGCAGAGAAAAAAAGAACAUUUUUUAAUAUGAUGGAAAUUUCUGUGGGAUGGAAAGAACAUCUCAGAGCUUAAUUUCCCCCAGCUCGGAGAGGUCUGGGAAGGUAUUUGGGGCAUCAGGAGGAUUUUUCCUGUCCUUUUAUGAAGCCCUGCUCUCAGUCACAUGCAGUGCUGUUCUCAGACUGAAAGUUUCAUCCUCCUCGAAGACAAAAUUCUCGUAUGCCUGGUCUCUCCCAGGAAUGUAAUUUUUUUUUUAAGCAAUAAACACCUGAAAUAGCUGUAAUGGGAAAAAACUGCCCGUGCCCCAUUAGUCAACCGUGGCACCAUCACGCCAGUGGGCGGGAGAGAACAGGACCCGGGGAGGGUCGGGGCCGCGCCGGCACUGCCGGGGUAGGCGGGAACGGCUCGAUAAGACUUUCAGAAGACGGUGUUCACGGAAAGAGAAGGGAUUUCAGAGCCUGGGAACGCUGGCUGCGGUUAGUGUUGCCAGCUGAAUACUUGACACUGCAAUUUCCUGUUAGUAAAACUCCUGGGAGAAACACGAAGUUGGUGCCUUUGCUCCCGAGCGUGUUCCCAGUGCGCCAGCCUCGGCCCGGGCGGUCCCUCAUCGCCGAGCCCUGGAGAUGAGGAAAACCUUCUCCUCGCUCCACCACCAAAUAUAGUCGGAAAUCAGAAGCUUGAAAUAUUUUGGGAGGAAUUUCUUCAAGCAUAAGUCAUGUUCUCAAUAACCUCCGCUUCGUGAGUCUGUAUCUGAUGUCAACAUCUGCAGUGAUUAAGAGAGAGUGAGUAACGAGGAAUGCGUGGAAUGGAAACUCAGCUGAGUGUGAAACCAGGAACAAUGAUUUUCUCUUACUCCCAACGCUCCUCUCCCCCCGCGGGGCCUUACAAACCCCCCAGCUCUGUGCGCCAGCCCCUUCCUCCGUGCCCCAAAUCAGCCAGGGCUCCGCGCUGCGACUGAGGGGACCCAAUCUCCUCUUGCUCGUUUGCUUCUCGUCCUGGGAGGGUUUUAUCGACUCCCCACGGCAGCGGUUAAAAUUUGGCAGCAGGAAAAAAAAAAAGCACCAUUUUCUCAAGUCUCACUGUCCCAGCUCGGCUGGCGCACGGUGCUGCCCGGGGGCACCCACCUGGACGCCAUUAGCCCAGCGGUGCUUAGUUGCGAGAGCUGAUCAGAGGGCGAUACUGGAAAAGGCCGGUGGUGUUUGUUUUCCAGUUCAAACAAAAACUGGUUGGGGAAGUACCGCUUCGGUGGGUUGGAGCUUUGAUCCUCUAGGGAGGAAAGUCCUCGUCUGGUGGAAAUGCUGGAGCACGAACGCUGCAAAAACUAAGGCCAAACACUUGCUGAGCUAUUGUGUAGGGAAGAAGAAGAGCAGUUAAUAAUAAUUAAUAACGUCAUCAAUAUUUCACACUUGGCAGCUGCAUAAAGCUCGCAUUCCUGGAGGAUCCGCUGCGAGAGCGAGCUAGCGCCGGCAGAGCUGACAUUUCAUCUUUGUCGACGGCUGCCAGUGAAUCAAAGACCUCACUUUUCCUGUAUCGCUGCGCUCGCACAAUGGCCCCCCUUGUGACGGGCUGUAAUUUAUGGCCGCCGUGUCCUCGGUGCCGGGAGAUGCGACAGGCUGUGGCAGAGGCGCUGCGCCGGCCCUGCGGCGCUGUGUGUCGCAGCGGGCGAAGCAGCCUCACGCACCCGCAGUACAAUGGAGCCAGGAGAUGGGGUGGUUCAAGGCUCCGCUCCCUCAUCCUGGAUUCCGUCAGUCGAGGUUAUUUCUUGGUAGCGAUUCCAGCUCCCGAGCCGGGCUGUAGCAUUCCGCCUCAGCGGCUCCUUGGCUGCGUUUCCCUGGCACCGUAGGCGCCGCGAGUCUGUUUUCUCCUCAUGUUUUGAGUUCAUUAGUGCUCAGUUUGGAGGCUUUCAGUUCACCGACUACAUUUCGGACAAAGUCUUGCAUUUUGCUUCCUUAGAAAUAAUACGUAGUUGCAGCACAACCGAAGUAUCGCAGCGUGUUCUUAAAUAUAACCUUCAAAUAGAGAGGAAAAAGGGCUGUUAGAAGGAAUUGCUAGCGGACACUGCCCUCGGGGAAGGUUUCACCUCUGCCAUCUACCGGCACGCUGCAAAGAUCCUCAGCAAAUUUAUAUCCCGUAUCCACUCCUUAAUGUAGUCAAAUCCUGGCUGUAAUUGUGUGUUCAUCAAAUGUCCCAAGAAUUUUUAACGUGCAAACUUCCAAGCGAAUCAUUACAGAGCAGUUGUCGGCUCGUUACUGAUGACAUCGAGUGGGGGCAGCUGAGAUAAAUUGAUCCCAUUUAAGCUGUUUCCGGCAGCUGAAGACAAACUUUCAAAGCCAAACCUGGGUCCCUGCAGCUAAAAUCUCCUCCUGGAGGAUCACUAAAACGUUUGGAAAGUGAUUCAGGGGGAGGAGAAGGCUAUUUAAUAACGUGAAGCAAACAGCCGUGUUCUAAACAACGCACAGUAAAGGAGUUCAGCCAGAGCAGGGCAAUGGUCUGUGCGUCUCCAUCUGCUGCUGGGAUACCACUUGUUUAGAGAACUGCUUCAUCCAG